rfam:Echinostoma caproni strain Egypt genome assembly, scaffold: ECPE_scaffold0001443
GCUCUGCCGACGAGUCCCAAACAGGACGAAACAGCUGUCCAAUGC